rnacentral:sRNA from 1 species
UACUUCUAAUCUUAGGGCAAAACGAUGGU